rnacentral:lncRNA from 1 species
CCCCCCUCUCCGUCUUUCUUUUUUCUUUCCCUCUCUUCCUUUUCUUCUCAUAAGUCUUGCUCAACAAUAAAGUAUCCAACCAAUCUGUAGGAUCCUAAUGCAUCAACCUGCAGGAUCCCAACACAACAACCCUCCUUCCUAACGACUGCUUCCUCCCUAUGCCGCAAUUCUUCAUAUGCUUGGAUCGAAUCCCUUUGUUCUUGGACAACAGAAAGAAUUGCCAACAACUGCGGUCUGAUUCAACAUCUGAAUCCUCCCUCAUCCAGAAGUCUUCAUCGACAUGUUUGUGAGAUCCCUUGC